UCACUCCUACGGGAGGCAGCAGUGAGGAAUAUUGGUCAAUGGACGAAAGUCUGACGCAGCGACGCCGCGUGAGGGAUGAAGGUUUUCGGAUCGUAAACCUCUGUCAGGAGGGAAGAAAGCGCAUGGCGCCAAUCAGCCAUGCGUUGACGGUACCUCCAAAGGAAGCGCCGGCUAACUCCGUGCCAGCAGCCGCGGUAAUACGGAGGGCGCGAGCGUUAAUCGGAAUUACUGGGCGUAAAGCGCGCGUAGGCUGUCGUGUAAGUUGGGGGUGAAAUCCCACGGCUCAACCGUGGAACAGCCCUUGA
rnacentral:rRNA from 1 species